CCUACGGGUGGCAGCAGUGAGGAAUAUUGGUCAAUGGACGAGAGUCUGAACCAGCCAAGUAGCGUGAAGGAUGACUGCCCUAUGGGUUGUAAACUUCUUUUAUAUGGGAAUAAAACGUUCCACGUGUGGGAUUUUGUAUGUACAAUAUGAAUAAGGAUCGGCUAACUCCGUGCCAGCAGCCGCGGUAAUACGGAGGAUCCGAGCGUUAUCCGGAUUUAUUGGGUUUAAAGGGAGCGUAGGUGGAUUGUUAAGUCAGUUGUGAAAGUUUGCGGCUCAACCGUAAAAUUGCAGUUGAAACUGGCAGUCUUGAGUACAGUAGAGGUGGGCGGAAUUCGUGGUGUAGCGGUGAAAUGCUUAGAUAUCACGAAGAACUCCGAUUGCGAAGGCAGUUCACUGGACUGCAACUGACACUGAGGCUCGAAAGUGUGGGUAUCAAACAGGAUUAGAUACCCCUGUAGUC
rnacentral:rRNA from 1 species